rnacentral:rRNA from 1 species
AUGUCGAUCCAAUGGCUGCCGAAUUCCGGCCCAGGAUUUCCAGAUUCCCUCCCUCACCCACCCACCCAUCCACCCAAAAAAAAAACCAAUCCGAGUGCCAGGAGGAGAGGAGAGGCUCCGCGGCUCGCGCGCGCCAUCGUCUCCCCGCCACACUAUUCUCCUUCCUCCCCCCGCCUCCCACCCACACCGACCAAACCAGAGCCUAUCCCUCUCUCCCCUCCUCGACGUGCCGCUCCCCUCCCCGCCGGCGACAGCUCAAUAGGAACGAUCAAGCCAACAGCCCAGGAACCUGGGAGCGUGGGUGCGGUCAGGAGGUGCUUCUUCCACGUCCUACGCCUAUGCUGCGGGAUGGAGGAGCCUAGCUCUAGCAUGGAAGGGCCCAGCAGCGGCCCGGCGCCGGCGCCCAUCUCCCGCGUCAGCUCCGAGGACGCCGACUUCUUCGACACCCACCACCAAGAAGACGACGACGGCGACGGCGAGGGCGGCCCGGGGGCCUACACGGCCUCCGACAUCGCCGACCGCUUCGUCCGCGUCAUCGACUCCGCCGCGCCCGUCGACCCCGUCCGCGGCGCCGUCUCCAAGUUCGGCGGCAUCCUCGACUGGAGAGAGCGGCGGCAGCAGGCCGAGGAGGAGCUCGUCGUGGUGCACGCGGAGGCCGCGGAGUACCAGCGCCGCACGCGGGAGGCGGACGCCGGCCGGGCGGAGGCGCAGCAGGACCUCAUGGGCGCCACCGGCGAGAUCGACGACCUCUGGCUCACCGUCAAGCGCGCGCAGAUCGCCGAGGCGCAGGCGCGCAAGGACUCGGAGCUCGCCAAGCUCCGCCUGCGCAAGCUGGAGAAGGGCGCCCGGGAGCGCGCCGCCGCCAAGGCCGAGCUCGACUCCGUCCGGGGCCGCCACGCCGCCGCGCUCGCCGACCUGCGCGCGGCCAGGGCCGAGAUGGACGCGCUCAGGAAGGAGCGGGACGCCGUCGCGGAGGAGGCCAGCGCCGCGGCGGCAAGGGUAAGGGACACUGCUGGCGGGGCGGCGCAGGCCGCCGAGGCCCUCAGGGAGGCCGCCGCGGAGUUCGAUGUGCUCAGGGCCGAGCUGGAGUCCGCGCGCGCCGCCCACGACGCGGCGGAGGAGAAGAGGAUGAGGCUGGCGUUGGCGUGGCGGGAGCACAAGGUGCGGUGGCAGAACCAGCUGGAGGAAGCUGAGAUGGAGGUGCGGAGGCUGAGGGAUGAGCUGGCCGCGGCCGGCGACCUCGAGUCCCAGCUGGCCGCGGCUUCCGAGCAUCUCGCGACCCUCAGAGCCGAGCUGUUCGCGCGCGCGGUCCAAGGGGCCAGCGAGGAGGAGGAUAAACAGACGCCGGGGAUGGUGGGCAAGGCGAAGAAGGAGCUCGAGGAGGCGAUGGAGAGCGUCGGGAAGGCCAAGGACGAGACCAAGAUCCUGCACAUCGCCGCCGCGUCGCUGCGCGCAGACCUGGAGAAGGAGAAGGCGGAGCUCGCCGCGCUACGGCAGAAGCAGAGCACGUCGUCGUCAGCGUCCAUCCCGUCGCUGGAGGAGGAGCUGAGCCGGGUGACCACCGAGCUCGCCGCGGCGCAGGCAAGAGCGAGGGACAGGGACGAAAGGAGGAGCACGACGCCCGAACAGCUUGACGAUGCACGGCGAGAGGCGGAGCGAGCCAAGGCUAGCGCACGGGCGACGCAGGAGGAAGUCGCCGCGGCCAGGGAAGACGCGCGCGUGGCCAGGGCCGCGGUCCAGGCCACGGAGGCGCGGCUGGAGGCCGUGCUGCGGGAGGUACUCGCCGCGAAGGCGUCGGCGGACGCGCUGCUGCAGCAGCAGGACGCCAGCCAGAGCGCGCAGACCCAAGUCCCCGAAGACUGCGUGGCGUUGACCACGGAGGAGUACGAGGAGCUGAGCCGGAGGGCGCGGGGGACGGAGGAGGCGGCCGGCGAGCGGGUGGCGGAGGCGCUGAGGCAGGUGAAGGAGGCCAAGGACGCGGAGGCGCGGAGCCAGCAGAAGGUGGCGAAGCUGGGGAGGGACACGGAGCUGAGGAGGCAGACGCUGCGGGCGGCGACGGAGGAGUGCGAGCAGGCCGAGUCGGCGAAGCUGGCGGCGGAGCGGCAGCUGCAGGCGGAGCUGCGGCGGCGCGCGGGCAGCGAGACGGCGUCGCCCCGCGCGGGGCUGGCGGAGAUCUCGACGUUCGAGCGCGGCGACGGGCGCGGCGGGAACCCGCACAUCCUGAGCCCGAGGGCCGGGUACAUGCCGAGGGCGGACAUGGCGGCGAUGGCGGCGGCGGACGAGGCGGGGCAGAAGAAGCCCUUCUUCCCGCGCAUGGUCAUGUUCUUGGCCAAGAAGAGAGCGCAGACAUGGAACGCCAAGUGA